ACAGGGGUCACAGACAUUCAGAUCAUGGCAGAACUGUCACAGAUGUUACUUUGUGAAAACACAAAGAAUAAUGUGUUUGGAGAGAUCAGUCUUCAAUUAGCUAUAUUUUCUAGGAGCCUACCUUUACUUAGCCUCACAACAUGGGCCUUAGCUUUAGCACUUAAUCUGCACAAAUACCUGGCUUAAGUGUUAUGACUGACUGGCUAUUCAACCAAACCAUACAAAUGACCAAUUCGGUAAGAAAGCAUGAACUUCAGUGUUGAACCAAAUCAACCAACCUCCUCAAUCCAAAUGAACAAUGCUAUUCUAGGAGUCUGUGCUAGAAUAAAAUCCUAAUGCAAAGGCUGUCUUAAAAUGCUGAACCCAGAAGAAUUUGGCAUAAAUAAGACAUGGAGUUAGCUGACAUGAGAUAUUACAUUUAUUCCACUGUUGACGAGGACAAAACUGGGCCGCUAUUGUCACAGGCUUGCAGAGCUCAAACCAUUACACCAUUCAGAAGCUGGCUUUGGUAUUACUUCAAGUUAUUCAAAACAGUCACCACUUGCUGAGCCUCUGAUGUCUCAUCUGUUGAAUGGGUACAUUUUCUUCCUGAUCCUUCCACCUCUAAACUUGUCUAUUUCCAAGGAUCUAUGGCAUCCAGGCAUAUGAUUUCAAGAGAGAAGGCUGAAAAGGAAGGUGACUGGAAUAUUAAGAACUGUGAGAUAUUCUGAGGAAACUCUAAUUUGUAAAUUGGUAGAAAUGCCAGUAAUUUGUUGGGAAUUGAAGACCCUCUGUAUUCAAGAGCGAAGCUUGGCAGCUGUGCACUGUUGUUUUAUAAAUCA
rnacentral:lncRNA from 1 species